rnacentral:rRNA from 1 species
UACGUAGGUGGCUAGCGUUGUCCGGAUUUACUGGGCGUAAAGAGCGCGCAGGCGGUCGUUCAAGUCGAGUGUGAAAGUCCCCGGCUCAACUGGGGAGGGUCACUCGAUACUGAUCGACUCGAAGGCAGGACAGGGAAGCGGAAUUCCCGGUGUAGUGGUGAAAUGCGUAGAUAUCGGGAGGAACACCAGUGGCGAAGGCGGCUUUCUGGCCUGCUCUUGACGCUGAGGCGCGAAAGCUAGGGUAGCAAACGGG